GAACUUGCCAUGGCAAUAGACUACUUCAGCUAUAGAGUUUAUGAUGAUACUUCAAUUCACAUUUGACUCCUGUUGCCUGUACUAGAAAAAUUCUGAAGCAUGGAACUUCACCCUUGGUCAACCAAUAUGGGUCCCUAUUCUCUGAGAUAGAUGGUAUGAUGAAAGAAAACCAGAUGAAAUGCAAGGAGCACAAUUGGCAGAUUUGACAAGUGCUACGCAGUUGGGUCUCUCCUUGUUCAUGGUAAAUGGUCUGCCAGGCAGCUGUUUUAUUCUGUUUCCUUAGUUAUGGAUCUGAGACACCAGUUGUGAUGAGUUGUGGAAGAGGAAAGUAGGAGAAUAAAAUGGGAAAAGCCGAGGAUGAUUGCUCCUAAUUCAUGAGUAUGUCUCCUCAUUUGUCUAGAGAAUGAAUGCAGGGCCACCCCCUUCCCUUGGCUUGUAUUUGAGCAGGAAUAAUUCCCCUAUAUGGAUACUUUAUAACUCUCGUCUGACGACUCUGAUAUUUUUCUAUUGGGGUCCUUCAAGUGAAACCGUGCCAUGCAUACUCAUGAUUAUUCUGAUUCCUUUAUCCAAAACCAUACCAUACUUUGUCUACAUGCGGUACAGAUCAUUGUUGUCCCUUCUUUUAGUUUCCAGUUUCUAGCUACAUCUUGUUAAACUAUUUUGUUGACCAAAAUUCUGAGCCCCAAUGAAAAAUUGAUGGUUAUGCCAUGGGAGCAACGACAGAGUUUGUGUAUACUGUGUUUAAUUUUUCUUGGUUACCGAGUUGGUAGCCGUUGUAAUGACACAUGGGAAGUGUUGUGUGUUGUGAAAGAAGUGAUUUAGUUUUAGCAAAAAGUCCCCUAUAUCGAAGAUGCUGCUGACUGCUUGAAUCACAGAAUGUCCAAGUGGAAAAUGCUAAUAAUUUCAAUACUUGCCCUAAUGUAAUUUAUUGGACAGCUACCAGGUGAAGAUGACCGUGAAGGUACAGAGGUGGUUUGUUUGUUUCUUGAAUGGCUAGGUAUUUUAUUUUAUAAAAAUAGUUAAGUCAGAUUUGUUUAUUUCUCUUAUAGUAUAUAAUCGUGUUCAUUAUUAUUA